rnacentral:rRNA from 1 species
AGUAGGACGCCAGUUUAUACCGUAGCUUGCUACACCAUAGACUGUGAGUUGCGAACGGGUGAGUAACGCGUAGGUAACCUGCCUAUUAGAGGGGGAUAACUAUUGGAAACGAUAGCUAAUACCGCAUAACAGUAUGUAACACAUGUUAGAUGCUUGAAAGAUGCAAUUGCAUCGCUAGUAGAUGGACCUGCGUUGUAUUAGCUAGUAGGUAGGGUAAUGGCCUACCUAGGCGACGAUACAUAGCCGACCUGAGAGGGUGAUCGGCCACACUGGGACUGAGACACGGCCCAGACUCCUACGGGAGGCAGCAGUAGGGAAUCUUCGGCAAUGGGGGGAACCCUGACCGAGCAACGCCGCGUGAGUGAAGAAGGUUUUCGGAUCGUAAAGCUCUGUUGUUAAGGAAGAACGAGUGUGAGAAUGGAAAGUUCAUACUGUGACGGUACUUAACCAGAAAGGGACGGCUAACUACGUGCCAGCAGCCGCGGUAAUACGUAGGUCCCGAGCGUUGUCCGGAUUUAUUGGGCGUAAAGCGAGCGCAGGCGGUUAGAAAAGUCUGAAGUGAAAGGCAGUGGCUCAACCAUUGUAGGCUUUGGAAACUGUUUAACUUGAGUGCAGAAGGGGAGAGUGGAAUUCCAUGUGUAGCGGUGAAAUGCGUAGAUAUAUGGAGGAACACCGGUGGCGAAAGCGGCUCUCUGGUCUGUAACUGACGCUGAGGCUCGAAAGCGUGGGGAGCGAACAGGAUUAGAUACCCUGGUAGUCCACGCCCGUAACGAUGAGUGCUAGGUGUUUGGUCCUUUCCGGGACUCAGUGCCGCAGCUAACGCAUUAAGCACUCCGCCUGGGG